GCGCCGUUAGCUCAACCAGGCAGAGCAUCUGACUCUUAAUCAGGCGGUUGAAGGUUCGAUUCCUUCACGGCGCA
rnacentral:tRNA from 1 species